UACGAGGGGGGCGAGCGUUGUUCGGAAUUACUGGGCGUAAAGGGCGCGUAGGCGGCCUUCUAAGUCAGACGUGAAAUCCCCCGGCUUAACCUGGGAACUGCGUCUGAUACUGGGAGGCUAGAGUGCGGGAGAGGGAUGCGGAAUUCCAGGUGUAGCGGUGAAAUGCGUAGAUAUCGGGAGGAACACCAAUUGCGAAGGCAGCUCGCUGGGACGUCACUGACGCUGAGACGCGAAAGCGUGGGGAGCAAACAGG
rnacentral:rRNA from 1 species